rnacentral:rRNA from 1 species
AACGUAGGUGGCGAGCGUUAUCCGGAUUUACUGGGCGUAAAGCGUGUGCAGGCGGGAUGGUAAGUGGUGUAUGAAAUCUCCGAGCUUAACUUGGAGGGGUUAUGCCAGACUGCCAUUCUAGAGUGCGAGAGAGGAAUGUGGAAUUCUCGGUGUAGAGGUGAAAUUCGUAGAUAUCGAGAGGAACACCGGUGGCGAAGGCGGCCAACUGGACGAACACUGACGCUGAGACUCGAAAGCGUGGGGAGCAAACAGG